UUCCCCUAUAAAUUUCGACCAGACCAUCUCAAUCUCAACAAAUCUCUCCUCAUAUACUUUAGCCCUUUUUCACAUUACUAGUAUCUUAACAUUUGAAGAAAAAAUGGCGAAUGCUCGAAUUGCUAGAUUUAUAAUCGAAGUAGCACCACCACAGUUUGUGAACAUCACGAGGCACCCAGCAUCAAAGAUGUUGGAAACAAUUCAUGAAGAGGAAAAAGAAGCUGACGCAAACGACUAUCCAUCCCCAUCACCAAAGAAUUUAUCGACAUACUCAUUUUGUACCGUUUCUACUUUAUUUGUACUUCGAGAUUAAAACCCCCCUCUUGUUUAUCCAUGGUCCUAUUGAAGUACCACACAUCUGACUAGUCCACAAGUUCUGGUAUUGUUAUUCUGAAUUGGAGUUCCGUCUUUAAAUAUUAGCCUUAUUAAAAGGAAUCGUCCAAGCAAACCCAUAAAAGCCUAUAUACAUUUCUUUGUCUUUUGUUCUCGUCUUCGAAAUUUAAUAAAGAAUUUUCUUCUUGAAUCAAGGUAUGAUUUAUCCUUAAUAUGAUCCAACAAGAUUGUGGCUCAUUUCAAGUAAACCAAUCUCGAAAUUCGCAUGCUCAUUUUCUGAUUCUUAAUCGAAUCGAAUUGUUCGUUGAAAUUUAAUGGGUUUUGAUACUAUAAUAAGACUUCAAAUUCCAUUUUAAAAUGUUAACUUUAUUAAGAAGAGUUGUUCAAAUCUUUAUAUGUUACAUUGUUGUAUAUAGUUUAGCCUAAAGUUGAAUAUCUUGUACGGAUUAUAUUCCUUCUUAUUCUUUUAGUGAAAAUGGAUGAUAAACGUACCGAUCUCACAAGAAAAUGUGCAUUCUUAAACUAAUGCUUUUGCAGGAAAAAUUGAAUUUCAUCACUUUAUUUCAUCACAAACUGAA
rnacentral:lncRNA from 1 species